rnacentral:lncRNA from 10 species
GAAAGAAAUGAGAAAUAACUGAAGUAAUGAAAUUACCUCCUGUGUAGUGGCUUUUAAAUAGGCUCUGAAACCUUUCUCCAAAUGUAACUCAAAUAUUGAAUCACGGGGAACUGUUUCCCUCCCCAAAAGGCUAGCUUCUCCAACGUCCGUAAAGUUCAGUGCAUGGCCACUUAGUCCAACUUCCCUCUCACUGCAGACAUCUUUCUGAUGCAGUCAACCACCCUGCACCUCCGUGUGUGUCUCCAGCCUUGUGGACACACUUUCAUGAAAUAUUUUUUGAAACAUGACCGUAGAAGAAAAUGGAUGAUGUGAGAUUGUGAGAAUGUGUUCAACAUUACAGUUUGUCUUUGUUGAAAUAAGGUGUGCCACUGUCUGCCUCAACUGUAGACUUCUAAGCCAUCUCCUUUUUCUUCUCUAAUAAACCGGGCGAAGUCUGGAUCAUGAGCUGACCACCCUUUCACCUCCAUUAUUAGAGGACAUUUUGCUACUUCCUCAAUAUUCUCAACGCAUGGCUUUUCUCUGAAAGUUCUGCAUGCUCGCCAAGAAAUAUAUAACAUCAGCUCGGUUCCAUGGCUCCUGCCUGUAAUUCCAGCUCUUCGGGAUGCUGAGACUGGUGAAUCACUUGAGCUCAGGAGUUUGAGACCAGCCUGGGCAACAGGACAAAGCCCCAUCUCUAUUAAAAAUACAAAAAUUAGCCCAGUGUGGUGGUGCACAUCUGUGGUCCCAGCUACUCUGGAGGAUCACUGGAGCCCGGGAGGUUGAGUUUACAGUGAGCCUUGAUUGAGUCACUGCACUUCAGCCUGAGUGACAGAGUGAGACAUUGUCUCAAAAAUAAAAAGGAAAAGAAAAUUUAUAACUGUUCUUCAUAGGAAAUAAUCUGGAGUCCAUUCUCUCUAUCCUGCUUUGUCCUUCCUGAAGUAAGUUCCAGUUUGUCAAUAUCUUAUGCAGAAUGUGGCAUUCAGAAAUAAGGACAAUUCUUCUAGUGAAAUAACUGAUGCUUAUUCUGUCUACAUCUUGUUAUUGCACGGCAAGAACAAGCAGUUGGACCUCAUUCAUCAGGGACCACCACCACUGUGUUCGACACCUUGGGCUAGGGAAGAAUGCUGAAUGUGUUCAUGAUUUGUCUGGGUACUCCUCCCAG